rnacentral:rRNA from 1 species
AUGAACGCUGGCGGCGUGCCUAAUACAUGCAAGUCGAGCGAACGGACGAGAAGCUUGCUUCUCUGAUGUUAGCGGCGGACGGGUGAGUAACACGUGGAUAACCUACCUAUAAGACUGGGAUAACUUCGGGAAACCGGAGCUAAUACCGGAUAAUAUUUUGAUCCGCAUGGUUCAAAAGUGAAAGACGGUCUUGCUGUCACUUAUAGAUGGAUCCGCGCUGCAUUAGCUAGUUGGUAAGGUAACGGCUUACCAAGGCAACGAUGCAUAGCCGACCUGAGAGGGUGAUCGGCCACACUGGAACUGAGACACGGUCCAGACUCCUACGGGAGGCAGCAGUAGGGAAUCUUCCGCAAUGGGCGAAAGCCUGACGGAGCAACGCCGCGUGAGUGAUGAAGGUCUUCGGAUCGUAAAACUCUGUUAUUAGGGAAGAACAUAUGUGUAAGUAACUGUGCACAUCUUGACGGUACCUAAUCAGAAAGCCACGGCUAACUACGUG